rnacentral:rRNA from 1 species
AGUGAACGCUGGCGGUAGGCCUAACACAUGCAAGUCGAACGGCAGCACAGUAAGAGCUUGCUCUUACGGGUGGCGAGUGGCGGACGGGUGAGGAAUACAUCGGAAUCUACUUUUUCAUGGGGGAUAACGUAGGGAAACUUACGCUAAUACCGCAUACGACCUACGGGUGAAAGCAGGGGAUCUUCGGACCUUGCGCGAUUGAAUGAGCCGAUGUCGGAUUAGCUAGUUGGCGGGGUAAAGGCCCACCAAGGCGACGAUCCGUAGCUGGUCUGAGAGGAUGAUCCGCCACACUGGAACUGAGACACGGUCCAGACUCUUACGGUAGGCAGCAGUGGGGAAUAUUGCACAAUGGGCGCAAGCCUGAUCCAGCCAUACCGCGUGGGUGAAGAAGGCCUUCGGGUUGUAAAGCCCUUUUGUUGGGAAAGAAAAGCAGCAGGUUAAUACCCCGCUGUUCUGACGGUACCCAAAGAAUAAGCACCGGCUAACUUCGUG